CUGAACCCGACCAAGACUGGCAGGGAAUUCAUCUCUCCACAGAGAAAACACUGAUGUUAAAGGACCUUUGUCCCCCUCUGGCACUACAAAUGCACUUUGAAAUAAAUUUAGGAGAUGACUCAGAAGAGCCCAGCUUGGUUUUGGAGGGCUGACACGGCGUCAGGAAGCGGAGUCACGGCUCGCUGCCUGGCUGGAAUUCUUUGAAGAUACUGCUUCUCAGGAGAUGUGAGGGACAAACUAUAAAGACACAACCUGAUGCUUGCCAAAGUGUGUCUGAAAAUGGUGUUGUGCUUGAUCUGUGUCAGGCCUCUGCCCUUUGUAAAUGCCUCUUUUAAAGCUGUGUGUGUAACCCUGCGUUUACAGAGUACAGCCACCGUCAGUUUGUGAGCAUCACUGAUGGAAUCUCACAACAAUUACUUAAAUGGCGUGCUAAGAGCAAGGUUUUUCAGAUUAAUAGUGACAAAUACUGCCAGGAAAUUGGGCCUGAUAGCAGAGUAUGAAGUUGCAACAGUAAAUAGUCAUUUGAAAACUUCACACAGUAGAAAUAAUUUAAAUUCCUUUUCAUAUUUAUAUCAACAAUGAAGGAAUUCAAGGACAGGAACAAGAGAUAAAAAUACUGUUUGGAAGAAUGGGUGGCCCAUUGCAUAUCUGAGUAAACAGAUCAGCUUCAGGUUGUUUUCAGGAUGAACUGGAACUGGAGAAGUUGUAACCUUCCUCCUCCGUGGAGUCUGUCAGCAGCUGCUGCAAGGGUCUUCACAUUCUGCAAAUGCAAAGGGAGUCAGGCCCAGGGGCAGUACCAGCCAUGUGUGCUGUCCUUGUGAGUCCAGCAGACCUGAGUGAUUUUACCUGGGAGCUUCAGGUGAUUCUUUUCAUAUCAAGUUCCACCCUCACUGUCACUGAAUGCUGAAGGACAACCCACUGAGCCCAGGAGGAGAAGGCAAUAUCCUCCCUCUCCUUCCCAGAAGACUUGCUUCUGAUUUCUCAGCUUCACACAUCUAGAGAAUCUGGACCAAGUUUCAGUGCCUGGUGCGCAGUAGGUCCUUUGCUCUUUACCAGGAGAAGAGGAAAGUGACCCCCAGUAGCCCUUUAUGCCAAUUCUGGCACCACUGUGAACAUGGUAUUUAUUGUUAAGCCUGUGCAGUUUUAGUCAGAUGGCAAAUUUGCAGAGCAGCCUGUGGCCUUGAGAUGUCCCCAUGUCUGUGAAGGAAUGAGCUACAGGGAGCCACCUGAGGCUUCAGAACCUCAGGAGCUCUAGAGGAAGCAACAGGGACUGCUGGCAUAUGGACAAACCAAAAUGUGUGUUUUCUCCAGAAAAAAAGUGGAAACCUCUACGAUAUGACAAUGGGAGAGGGGAAAGAGUUAAAUUAAUGAAACUGUCUUAUCAUGACAUGUUAGAAGAAACUAAAAAAUGGUGGAGAAAAUGAGGAUAGGGAUCUAAAUUUCAGGUUUUCACCUGCUAAUUCCAUUUACACAGACGGUGGGUUUGAUAAGGUCUAACACAGGUGGUUUUUUGGGGCUUUUUUUUUUAGAUUUCCAUGGCAUUGAUAAGGAUUUCCUAAGGAAAUCAUGCCAGAGAUGGGAUUUCUGACAUUACUUUAUCAGUCCCCUUAUAACCUCUGAAUUUUGGGCCAACUUCUAACCAAAUUUGGUUGUUCUUAAAAGUGAUGUGAAAAUAGCUGCAGAGGAGGAAAAAAAGAACUUCAACUUUUUGUGAGGGGAAAACUGUAUUCAUUAAAGAAUCCUCUGAGGACUUCAAUUUGGAACGUAAAUCUAAGAGAAAUAGUAUUUUAUUUUGCUGCUCAAAGAACUAUUUGUCUUAACAUCUUAACAAGAUCUUAAAAAAGUUACAUUGGAAGAGAGCUCUCUCUCUCUCAUUUUGAGGCUAUUAAUCCCUUGUGCUACAAAUGUUUAUGUGCAAGACUAGUCUUGGCAGAUCAUUAGGCUUUAAAGCUAUUCCCCAUUAAGCCUGUGUAUAAAUACUUGCAAUAUCAGGUCUUUGCUGAAACUAAAUAAAUGCUAGAAAGAGCUUUUUAC